CUAUAGGCAGCACAGGGCUGGCUGUGUGUGUGCAGGGAAGGCAGCAGCAGCCUUUCCCCCCCUGUCUCCUCCACAUGGAUAUCUAUCCCGUAGGAUCCAGCAGCUGAAUGCACGCCGGGAGCCUGGCACAGCAUGUACCUUGUUAACACAUGUGAAAGCAAGACACCUGAUUGGAUCCUAGUGUCGCCUCUGCCUCACUAAGUCCUUACAUGGGAUUACAAGAGACUGGAAUCGCAUCACAUUCAGGUCUUACUAAUGCUGGAGGAGAUCAAGGACGGGGAAUAUUAAGAAGAGACCAGGGCAGCAGGGCUCGACCCUGAAGUCGGAUAUUUGGCAGG